rnacentral:rRNA from 1 species
UACGUAGGGGGCAAGCGUUGUCCGGAAUCAUUGGGCGUAAAGCGCGUGUAGGCGGUUCGGUAAGUCGGCUGUGAAAGUCCAGGGCUCAACCCUGGGAUGCCGGUCGAUACUGCCGGACUAGAGUUCGGAAGAGGCGAGUGGAAUUCCCGGUGUAGCGGUGAAAUGCGCAGAUAUCGGGAGGAACACCAAUGGCGAAGGCAGCUCGCUGGGACGUUACUGACGCUGAGACGCGAAAGCGUGGGAAGCAAACAGG